rnacentral:rRNA from 1 species
GAUGAACGCUGGCGGCGUGCCUAAUACAUGCAAGUCGAGCGAACGGACGAGAAGCUUGCUUCUCUGAUGUUAGCGGCGGACGGGUGAGUAACACGUGGAUAACCUACCUAUAAGGCUGGGAUAACUUCGGGAAACCGGAGCUAAUACCGGAUAAUAUUUUGAACCGCAUGGUUCAAAAGUGAAAGACGGUCUUGCUGUCACUUAUAGAUGGAUCCGCGCUGCAUUAGCUAGUUGGUAAGGUAACGGCUUACCAAGGCAACGAUGCAUAGCCGACCUGAGAGGGUGAUCGGCCACACUGGAACUGAGACACGGUCCAGACUCCUACGGGAGGCAGCAGUAGGGAAUCUUCCGCAAUGGGCGAAAGCCUGACGGAGCAACGCCGCGUGAGUGAUGAAGGUCUUCGGAUCGUAAAACUCUGUUAUUAGGGAAGAACAUAUGUGUAAGUAACUGUGCACAUCUUGACGGUACCUAAUCAGAAAGCCACGGCUAACUACGU